rnacentral:rRNA from 1 species
UACGUAGGGUGCGAGCGUUAAUCGGAAUUACUGGGCGUAAAGCGUGCGCAGGCGGUUCGCCAAGUCAGGUGUGAAAGCCCCGGGCUCAACCUGGGAACGGCAUUGGAAACUGGCUUGCUGGAGUGUGGCAGAGGGGUGUGGAAUUCCGCGUGUAGCAGUGAAAUGCGUAGAGAUGCGGAGGAACACCGAUGGCGAAGGCAGCCCCCUGGGCCAACACUGACGCUCAGGCACGAAAGCGUGGGGAGCAAACAGG